AUUUGGCGGACGGGUGAGUAAUGCAUCGGAACGUGCCCAUUUGUGGGGGAUAACGCGGCGAAAGGAACGCUAAUACCGCGUACGUCCUACGGGAGAAAGUGGGGGAUCUUCGGACCUCACGCUAUCAGAUGAGCCUAGGUCGGAUUAGCUAGUUGGUGGGGUAACGGCUCACCAAGGCGACGAUCCGUAACUGGUCUGAGAGGAUGAUCAGUCACACUGGAACUGAGACACGGUCCAGACUCCUACGGGAGGCAGCAGUGGGGAAUAUUGGACAAUGGGCGAAAGCCUGAUCCAGCCAUGCCGCGUGUGUGAAGAAGGCCCUCGGGUCGUAAAGCACUUUAAGCUGGGAGGAAGGGUUGUAACCUAAUACGUUGCAAUUUUGACGUUACCAGCAGAAUAAGCACCGGCUAACUCUGUGCCAGCAGCCGCGGUAAUACCCCCGGUGGCGGACGGGUGAGUAACAAUC
rnacentral:rRNA from 1 species